GCUGAGGCAGGAUUGCAAGUUCAAGGACAGCUUCAUCAACAUAGUGAGGCCCUGUCUCAAAAUAAAAUUGAAAAGGGGUGGGGAUAUAGCUCAGUGCUAGGGCCUUGCCUAGCAUGUGCAAGGCCUUGGGUUCAGUCCCCAGUAUCGUAAAAAUGAAUGAAUGAAAUAAAGAAAAAACAGUGUGCAGAGAUUCUCCCUCUUCCUUGGAGAUUAGUGUGCCCAGAUUUCCAAGCUAUAGAAGUUUAGUACUUACUAUACUGAUCUGUUUUGGUUUUUUGUUUGUUUCUGUGGACCUGGGGAUCAAACCCACUGCUUUAUGAUGAGAGACGAGCACUGUACCGCUGAACUACAGCUCCAGUCCUUUACUGAUAUGUUUGUUUGUUUGUACUGGAGAUUAAACCCAGGGCACUGUACAACUGAACUAUAUUCCCAGUUCUUUUUAUUUUGAGACAGGAUCCCUCUAAAUUGCCCUAGCUGGCCCUGAACUUAAGAUCCUCCAGCCUCAGCCUCCCCAGUGGGAGGCCUGCACCACCAUGCCCAGCAUUGUACUGAUCUUUAUAGAAAACAGUGUUUUAUCUUCUAGCUGUAUUUAGCAGUUUGUAUUUCUUCUACUUUUUUGGUGCUGGGGACUCAUCCCCAGCACCUCUCAUGUGUGCUGCCUCUCCAGCCCCUGUUAUAAUUUUUCAAAUAGGCUUCAUGUUUAACAUAGAACUAUAAAUUGAAUAAAAAGCAAAAGUGAAAGCCCUUCUCAUCCACAUCCCACUCUCCAGAUGUUAUGCUUCUCAUUUCAUUUUUAAAGUUCGCCUCCCCCUCUUUUUGCUUCCUCUAAGCAUUUCUGUGAAUUACUCAUGCAGCAAAAGCAUAUAUCUUAAUGGACGGGGAAAGUAGAGACAACAGUGAAAAGCCUGGAUGUUGACUCUAGACUUCAUGAUGAAUGUACAGUUAUAUUCAAUCCAUAUGUGUAUGUAUGUGUGAGAAUGUUUUAAAUAUGAUGACCUCAUAACAAAGCACAUACAUACCUGAUACAUAAUUAAUUGUGAUUAUAACAUAUGAAGAAUUAGAAACUUAAAUUGUGGACUAUUGGAAACUAUCACAUGACCUUUAGGUAUCAUUGGGUUAAAAACAACUCAUAAGAGCUUUUUCACCCUUUUGUUUUAUUAACAGUGUGAGUUGAAAUUGAUAUUUGGCAAAAUGGUGAUGCAUGGUGCAUACUGAGAGCAGUUCUCUUCUUUCACAGAUUAUAUGAAUCUUGGUUUUUUAUGGUUCAUAUA
rnacentral:lncRNA from 1 species